GUCCACAGCUACUGGUCUGUCAAUCGUAGCAGCUGUGGCAUUCCACUGUAGGAAAGAAAGUGUUACACAGUUAAAUACCUCUUUCAUACCCAAGAAGAAAGUGGGCAUGUGAGUGACAGUGUAAA
ensembl:snoRNA small nucleolar RNA SNORA41